rfam:Xanthomarina gelatinilytica strain AK20 contig4, whole genome shotgun sequence.
UAUCAAGAGGAAAAAUUUGUCUGAUUGCAACCUCAUUAAAAAAAUGCUAAAGCAGUAACA